UAUCGGGAGAGACUAAACACUUUUUAGCGCCGAAGGAGCAACCACCCCGGAAACUCUCAGGCAAACGGACCGAUACA
rnacentral:ncRNA from 1 species